GUCCGAUUUCUUCAGGCCCAAUUGGCCAGCCCUAAUGCUUAGCCCAAGGAUUGAACAAGCCCAAGUCAUCGUCACUGGGUGACAUAUUUUAUUGGCGUGCUUUUGGGGAUGAUUUGUUUUGAGUGAUGCAUCUCUAUUGUUGUGAAGAAAGGUGCAUGCUUGAGUUUUACUAUGGAGAUUUACCGUGAUGCUAAUUGAGUAGCGAAACACUUUGUGGGAGUGUUUACUGUGCUUGUAUGCCAGUACAGAGUGAUGAUCUAUGUGAAGAUCUAUGUGAAGAUCUAUGUGAGGAUCUAUGAGAUGAUCCAUGUGACGAUUUUGUGUAUGUGAUGUGGAGUGUUGUUGAGCAGUUGUUGUGUGAGUUUACGUUUGUGAUGAAAGGAUUUAGUGGCCAUAGGAAUGUAUUUUUAUACAAAGAGCUGAGGCUCUGUAGAUUACUACAGAUUUGGAAGAGAUGGAGAUUCUAUGGUUAGGUCAACCUUAAUCGAGAGGAAUUGACUUACGCUCAAAUUUCGGGACGAAAUUUCUUUAAGGAGGGUAGACUGUAAUACCCCGGAAAAUCCAAAUUAAAUUCCGUGGAUUUUUAGAAAUGAUUUCACGAUAGUAGGAGCGAGUACGAAGCUUGGAGAAGUUGUGGAAUUAGUUCGAACGAUUUUAUUUCGAAAUCGUACGUAUUUAGGAGCGUCUCAAAAAUUGACUUUUUAUACGUAUGGAAUUUCGGAAAACUUCCUUCAUGAAAGUCGUAGAGCUCGUCGAUACGAACUCGUGCAUAUGUAGAACGCGAAAAUCGGAGUUCGUGUGAAUAUUUAUGGAUUUUUGAAGAUAUUUCCAUUUUGGUAUAAAUAUAUUUCUAUUUUCGGAAAUUGCAAGGAAGGACAGAAAAUUUGGAAAACCAAAACCUGAACCCUCAGUUUUCUCUCUUCCUGCCCGAGCCCCCACGCAGCCACCACCUUCGCCGGCCGAUUUCUUCACCUUCCGGCCACCAUAGGUCGAUUUCUUCAGUGGGUUUUGUUCACCACACUCCCUCCUACACGUCUGUGGAAGCCAUAUAGCACGGGAAGCACGGUGAAGGCUGCUACAAGUCCGGGAAGUUGCGCCACCGAGCUGAAAUUACCUCCAGUCGCCGGCCUUCAUUCUCCCAGCUCCGGCCACCUUAGCUCGUGAUUAUUGAGGGCUUUUCUAGCCCAGAAGACGUAGAUGCUGUCCUCAAAACGGCUUGCAAUGAUUCGAUCUGUGGAGAUCGAAUUUUGGAACUUUUGAAACUAGGGUUCAUCCGAUCUGAAAAUGUUGUGAGGUGAUCGACGGUUUGAUUUGGCGGACGAUUCGUGAAAUUGUAUUUUGAGCUGUUAAGAAGACGCAGCGGGAAUUUAGAGCGGGUAAUCCUACAGGACAGGAGAAUCAGGAAGGUGAUCGAGCUGUGUAGAGUAGCUGCUUGUGAUACUCUGAUUUUAUGUUGUGAGGUUCGUUAUGCUCGUUUAGAGUUUUACAAUUUUACUUUGUAAGAGGGAAUUGUAAUAAUUAACUCGAAGUUUACCGAUUUGGAAAUUUUGUGUAAGUGGUGGAGUUGUUUCUGAGAAAAGAA